rnacentral:rRNA from 1 species
AUUGAACGCUGGCGGCAGGCCUAACACAUGCAAGUCGAGCGGAUGAAGGGAGCUUGCUCCUGGAUUCAGCGGCGGACGGGUGAGUAAUGCCUAGGAAUCUGCCUGGUAGUGGGGGAUAACGUCCGGAAACGGGCGCUAAUACCGCAUCCGAUCUGAGGGAGAAAGUGGGGGAUCUUCGGUCCUAGCGCUAUCAGCUGAGCCUAGGUCGGAUUAGCUAGUUGGUGGGGUAAAGGCCUACCAAGGCGACGAUCCGUAACUGGUCUGAGAGGAUGAUCAGUCACACUGGAGCUGAGACACGGUCCAGACUCCUACGGGAGGCAGCAGUGGGGAAUUUUGGACAAUGGGCGAAAGCCUGCUCCAGCCAUGCCGCGUGUGGGAAGAAGGUCUUCGGAUGGUAGAGCACUUUAAGUUGGGGGGAAGGGCAGUAAGGUAAUACCUUGCUGUUUUGACGUUACCAACAGAAUAAGCACCGGCUAACUUCGUG